AGCCAAUCCAGAGACCUAGAAGUAACAUUUUUAAAGGAAAAAAAAAAUCAAUUAAAGUUGCACUUUUAUAGAUUUUGGGUCUGGUUUUUUUUUUUUUUUUUUUUUUAGAAACAAAACCUAGUAAUUUUACCUUGAUGUUUGUUACUAAAUCCAUUCUUCAUUCCUGCUUUUCUUUAAAGGGUGGGAACCCAAGUUUAUAAACAUUUGUAGCAAAAUCUACCUCUGUGUAGUUGUGAAAAGGACGAAGAUCCAGGUAACAAUUUUUUAACCUAGAACUAAAAAAGCUAUAACAGAAGUGAUGUGUUGUUUUUUUUUAAACAGUCUUUCCAAUGGUUUUAACAAGCUUUUAAUUUAAAUCCUCUAAAGCUCUCAUAAUAAUUGAAAAAUACUGUGCUUCUCUACUACCUUAUGGAACCAGGGCAAAGAAGACUGAAAGAAGAUUAAAUUCUUCCACUCCACUACACUUGGACAGGCCAAAAGCUUAAAGAUUUUCUCAGACCUUCAAAAGUUACUGAAAUCUGCUGCCAACAUUUUCCAGAAAACCUGCCCAAUAAAAGUAUUUUCUUUGAAAGCUGGAAGGGAAAAGAGCAUUAAAAUGCUGAGCUGCCUGAGUUGUUACCUGGGAAUAGCUUCUUUAGGAUCUUCCAACGCAAACUGUGUGUGUUAAGUAGAGUGGUUCAGUUCAAUGCUGCUUGUGAAGAGGAAACACUUCUGAAAGAGUCAGGUAAACUCCGAGUCUGCUGCUUCCUUUUAGAAGUCAUAUCUAAAAUGACUUGCACAGAAGCCUAAAUGGCAGCCAUUAACAUCGAGAAAUAAAGGUUCAAAAGAUGCCUAAUGUGGCACUACCUUCAUUAGUAGAUGACAGAAAUGGCUUCAUUAGUAAAUGACUGAAAUUAAAAACUAUGUCAAACUGG